AUUGAACGCUGGCGGCAUGCCUUACACAUGCAAGUCGAACGGCAGCACGGGUGCUUGCACCUGGUGGCGAGUGGCGAACGGGUGAGUAAUACAUCGGAACAUGUCCUGUAGUGGGGGAUAGCCCGGCGAAAGCCGGAUUAAUACCGCAUACGAUCUACGGAUGAAAGCGGGGGACCUUCGGGCCUCGCGCUAUAGGGUUGGGCGAUGGCUGAUUAGCUAGUUGGUGGGGUAAAGGCCUACCAAGGCGACGAUCAGUAGCUGGUCUGAGAGGACGACCAGCCACACUGGGACUGAGACACGGCCCAGACUCCUACGGGAGGCAGCAGUGGGGAAUUUUGGACAAUGGGCGAAAGCCUGAUCCAGCAAUGCCGCGUGUGUGAAGAAGGCCUUCGGGUUGUAAAGCACUUUUGCCCGGAAAGAAAUCCUUGGCCCUAAUACGGUCGGGGGAUGACGGUACCGGAAGAAUAAGCACCGGCUAACUACGUG
rnacentral:rRNA from 1 species